rnacentral:rRNA from 1 species
CGAAAUGCAUUUAGGUGCAGCGUCGUAUUAUAGCUUGGUGGAGGUAGAGCGACUGGUUGGUUGAGCGGGACUACAAUCUUAGCAAUGUCAGCCAAACUCCGAAUGCCACUAAUUGUGUUGUACGGCAGUGAGACUGUGGGGGAUAAGCUUCAUAGUCGAGAGGGAAACAGCCCAGAUCAUCAGCUAAGGCCCCUAAGUGGUGACUCAGUGGGAAAGGAUGUGGAGUUGCGUAGACAACCAGGAGGUUGGCUUGGAAGCAGCCAUCCUUGAAAGAGUGCGUAAUAGCUCACUGGUCGAGUGGUUCUGCGCCGACAAUGUAGUGGGGCUCAAGUACACCGCCGAAGCCGCGGCAAACUUUUUUGUUUGGGUAGGGGAGCGUCGUGUGUGGGGUGAAGCCGUAUCGGAAGGAGCGGUGGACUGCAUGCGAGUGAGAAUGCAGGCAUGAGUAACGAAUGGCAAGUGAGAAUCUUGCCCGCCGGAUGACUAAGGGUUCCUGGGUCAAGUUCGUCUUCCCAGGGUGAGUCGGGACCUAAGGCGAGGCCGACAGGCGUAGUCGAUGGACAACGGGUUGAUAUUCCCGUACCAGUG